AAUGAACGCUGGCGGCAGGCCUAACACAUGCAAGUCGAACGGCAUCUUCGGGUGUAGUGGCGGACGGGUGAGUAACGCGUGGGAACGUACCUUUUGCUUCGGAAUAGCCUCGGGAAACUGGGAGUAAUACCGAAUGUGCUCUUCGGAGGAAAGAUUUAUCGGCAAAAGAUCGGCCCGCGUUGGAUUAGCUAGUUGGUGAGGUAAUGGCUCACCAAGGCGACGAUCCAUAGCUGGUUUGAGAGGAUGACCAGCCACACUGGGACUGAGACACGGCCCAGACUCCUACGGGAGGCAGCAGUGGGGAAUCUUAGACAAUGGGCGCAAGCCUGAUCUAGCCAUGCUGCGUGAGCGAUGAAGGCCUUAGGGUUGUAAAGCUCUUUCGCUGGGGAAGAUAAUGACUGUACCCAGUAAAGAAGCCCCGGCUAACUCCGUGCCAGCCGCCGCCGUAACAC
rnacentral:rRNA from 1 species